rnacentral:rRNA from 1 species
GACGAACGCUGGCGGCGUGCUUAACACAUGCAAGUCGAACGAAGUGGCGAACGGGUGAGUAACGCGUAAUCAACCUGCCCUUCGGAGGGGGACAACAGUUGGAAACGACUGCUAAUACCGCAUACUGAAGGAGGGGAUUGCGUCGGAUAAGCUAGUUGGAGGGGUAACGGCACACCAAGGCGAUGAUCAGUAGCCGGUCGUAGAGGAUGACCGGCCACAGUGGGACUGAGACAAGGCCCAGAAUCCUAGUGGAUGCAGCAGUGGGGAAUCUGCCGAAAUGGACGAAAGUCUGACGGAGCAACGCCGCGGGAGUGAUGACGGCCUUCGGGUUGUAAAGCUCUGUUAAUCGGGACGCGGUACCGGAAUAGAAAGCCACGGCGAACUACGUGCCAGCAGCCGCGGUAAUAC